rnacentral:lncRNA from 1 species
AACAACCUUGGUUCCUGAUAUUUUAUAUUUGAUUUUUUGUAUGAUGUCCCACUUUAGGCGGGAAUUCCAUGCAUGGGAUGCAUGCAAGUAUGCAAUGUUGCUGGGGAUAUCUGGUUGUGCAUGUAGGAAUGCGAACGAUUUUUUUUUAUUUUUUUGUUGAAAUUCCCAUUUUGUGGGAGUGUUAUGCAUGAGUGCGCUGAUGAUUGAUAUGACUAUGUUUUUUUAAUUUUCUG